rnacentral:rRNA from 1 species
UACAGAGGUCUCAACCGUUGUUCGGAUUCAUUGGGCGUAAAGGGUGCGUAGGCGGUCGCGCAAGUCGGAUGUGAAAUCUCAGGGCUCAACCCUGAAACUGCAUUCGAUACUGCGUGGCUAGAGUGCUGGAGAGGAGACUGGAAUUUACGGUGUAGCAGUGAAAUGCGUAGAUAUCGUAAGGAAGACCAGUGGCGAAGGCGAGUCUCUGGACAGCAACUGACGCUGAGGAGCGAAAGCGUGGGGAGCAAACAGG